CUGUGGUUGACCUCUAGUGUUAGCUGUACUUGAAAUAAAGACAUCUGUUGGAUUUUAUUGUGACAACAUAGGAGCUGAGCUCUUUAGGCGUUCUGUCUCCCCCAGAUCGGCUACUAGUUGGGCAGCAUGUUGGACUACAGACUCUGAGGCCACCAGAAAGUGAAGCUCAUAAGGAGAAGCAACUGAAACCUGACAACUUCUCCACUUGGACAGAAAGUUUCCUUAUCUUUGUCUUCCAAUGCAAACUCCAAGUCUUUGUUGUUCUUUUUUUUUUUAUUUUACAUAAACAUAUUCUUUAAAAAAAAAAAUUGCCUUUGUACACCUUUUUAUAUUUGCUGCUGACUGUGAUGCCAAGAGCUAAUGACAGCAGAAAAUUGAGAAAAGGUAGUGUUUGUACUAUGUGUCAUUAUUACUUACUGCAUGAUCUCAGUGAAGAACUGAAGGUGACCUUGAUAUUAGGGGCACAUUAGCAUAUUUCUAGCAUGGAUGCUUCUCAGUGUGUACAUCAUGAAAUACAGCAACAGUCUCAAAAACACUUUCAACAUCACUUCAAUGGCCAGUCAUGGAUGUACCAAUACAUUAGGCACUGACAACCUUGGUACUUCAGAAUGGGAAUGGAAAAAGAAAAGUUAUUUAACUUGAGAUAACUUAGAGUGUGGAAGAUGGGAAUAGAAGUGGAGUGUGAUCAUCACAGUUGCAUCCAUUGAAGAUCUGUCAUCAAACUAGUUCUCUCAAGUAACAAGAGUCAGCAAAAUGAGACACUAGUUUUGAAACUUUUUUGUCAAGAUGGAGAGUAGGGUAAAGAAGAAAAGGUGUGUCUUUCACAAAAGAACAGACAGACUGUAAAUUGUUCAUAAAAAUCAUCUUGAGUGGAGUUAAAUA